AAAGAAAAAAAAAAGAAUGAGUUCUUCUCUGGUAAAAUUCCAGGUGGAAGAAGGGGAAGUGCAAACUUGGUGUUCUGAGACUCCCUUAGAGACCCUGGGAGAAGGACAGCAACAAGAAUGAGUGUGUGUCUGGUAAAUACACCACAGGGUCUGUUAACCUUCAAGGACGUGGCCUUGGACUUCUCACUGGAGGAAUGGGAAUCUCUCAGUUUUGCUCAGAGGACAUUGUACAUGGAUGUGAUGUUGGAGAAUUACAAUAAUCUGUUAUUUGUGGAAAAUCAUUGCAUAUGUGGAAAGUAUGAGAAGGUCUUGGAUCAAGACAGCCAGUACAUUGUCCAUGAACACAUGAAUAUUCAAGAGAAGUCUUCUAAAUGGGACAAACUUAGCAAUGUGAUACUUGAAGCCCCCCAAUGUACACCUUACAAAACUAAUCACACCUCUGAUGCUCUUCAAUUUUCAAACUAAAAAAGACUUAAGCCCAGGAACACUAAAGAAGUUUGCAAAUACAAUGACUCUGUAAACAGUUUAACUUUGUUUUCUACCAUUAGUCUCAAUCAGGGAAUCCACAUGCAGAAGAAAAAACACAACGGAAAUGCAGAAUCUGAGAAGGCUUUUAUUUCUAAACAUAAAGUCAUGGUGAAACGAAAUAAUACUGGAGUGAACCCUUACAAAUGUAGUAAAUUUGACAAAUAUCUUACCCAGAGAGACAAACUUCAAAGUCAGCAGAGAAUUUAUCAUGAAAAGAAACAUUACAGAAGUAGUAAAAGUGACAAAUGCUUUACCCAUCAGAUCGAUCUUAGUAUCCAUCAGGGAAUUCAUGCAGAAGAGAAAAUUUAUAAAUGUAGUGAAUGUGACAAAUGCUUUACCCACAAAUUUCAUCUUAAUAUUCAUCAGAGAAUUCAUACAGGAGAGAAACCUUACAAAUGUAGUGAAUGUGACAAAUGCUUUACCCAAAAAUCUCAUCUUAAUAUUCAUCAGAGAAUUCAUACAGGAGAGAAACCUUACAAAUGCAUUGUAUGUGAGAAAUGCUUUACUGAAAAAGGCAAUCUGAGAAUUCAUCAGAGGAUUCAUACAGGAGAUAAACCUUACAAAUGCAGUGAAUGUGACAAAUGCUUUACCCAAAAAUCCCAUCUUAAUAUUCAUCAGAGAAUUCAUACAGGAGAGAAACCUUACAAAUGUAGUCAAUGUGACAAAUCCUUUACUGAAAAUGGCCAUCUGAGAAUUCAUCAGAGAAAUCAUACAGGUGAGAAACCUUACAAAUGUAGUCGAUGUGACAAAUCCUUUACUGAAAAUGGCCAUCUGAGAAUUCAUCAGAGAAUUCAUACAGGAGAGAAACCUUACAAAUGCAGUGAAUGUGACAAAUCCUUUACUAAAAAAUUCAGUUUGAGGAUUCAUCAGAGAAUUCAUACAGGAGAGAAACCUUACAAAUGCAGUGAAUGUGAAAAAUGCUUUACUUUCAAAGGCAGUCUGAGGAUUCAUCAGAGAAUUCAUACAGGAGAGAAACCCUACAAAUGUAGUGAAUGUGACAAAUCCUUUACUGAAAAUGGCUGUUUGAGAAUUCAUCAGAGAAUUCAUACAGGAGAGAAACCUUACAAAUGCACUGAAUGUGACAAAUGCUUUACUUUCAAAGGCAGUCUGAGGAUUCAUCAGAGAAUUCAUACAGGAGAGAAACCUUACAAAUGCACUGAAUGUGACAAAUCCUUUACUGAAAAGGGCAAACUGAGAAUUCAUCAGAGAAUUCAUACAGGAGAGAAACCUUACAAAUGUAGUGAAUGUGACAAAUGCUUUACUGAAAAAGGCCAUCAGAGAAUUCAUACAGGAGAGAUACCUUACAAAUAGUUUGUAUGUGACAGAUACAAUACAAUGUCAGUCUGAGAAAUCAUCAGUUUUUAAUACAGUAGAGAAUAUUUAUAAAUGAAGUGAAUGAGACAAUCCUUUACCAAGAUAUAUCAUCUUAAAAAUCAUUAGAGAAUACUUACAGAAGAGAAACUUUUCAAUUAUAUCGAAGGUAUGAAUCCUUUACUCUUGGCCUAUUUCCUAGAAUGUUAACAGUGAAUACUUACAGGAUACAAACUUAACUCAUGCAUUGUAUGAAGAAAUAUCUUUGACUUCAUUUCAGGUCAAAGAGAAUAUCUAAUAACUUUUUAGGGGAAAGUAUUUCUGUUGGGGAAAGUGUGGCCUGUGUUUUAUUCACGUUCUAUUCUUGACAACAAUUGAGGCUCCACACUAGAGAAUUAGUAUGAUUAUGAAAAUCAUGUGAAAACUUUCAUGCAAUGUUCAAAUCUUAAAUAAUGUCAACUAUUUUUUGCUUGAAGAAACUCUGAAAAUGUAAAAAUGUAGAAAGCUUUUCAUGACACCUUUUUACUUGUUCACCCUUAAAUGUUACAAGAUGAAGACAAGUUGGGAAGUGAGGAGAUAUUAUUGUGUACCACAUUCAUUGAGACAGAAAUAAUCCAUUUCAAAAGGAAACUAUUUAAGGUCUUUAAUGCAGUCCUCAAAAUAUCUAAUAAAACUGGUAACAUUCUGUAUAUUUAAUUCAAAUGAGCCAAUUGAGAAAAAUUAUACUUAAAAGAAUAUCUGGCAAACUGAGCCACCCAGACAGCAUAUUCUUUAUCCUAUAAAUAUGCUUACAGAUGUUAAGUGUGCUUCGAGUAUUCAGUAAUAAUAAUUCUUCUCAAAUGCUUGGUUCACAUUAUAGGAUAACAACUGAUCAUUAUUUCCCAUUUAUUAAACGAAAGUCCUAUAGGUCUCUGAAAAAUGCUGACCGUUGAUACAUAUUACAAGACAUUGUGGUGUACUCCACUCUACCGUAAGGAAUAAAAUAGAUUUCCAUUCUUUUCUUAAAUCAUCUACGGAAUCUUAAUAUUUUGCACAUCUCAGAAUAUACAUUCUGAAGAAAAACAACAGCUUUUGUAACUAAUAGCUAAGUCAUUAACAUAUGCUGCAGUGUGUAUACUUUGCACUAAGGACACAGAAGCAAUUGCUGUAACCAUAAUAGAAACUAUCAGGACAGCCAUUCCUGCUAAAAUCAUGCCUAUGGCCCUUUUAGAUCGCAACAACAAUUCUGUGGUUGCAUGCUCAAGAAUUCCUAGGCCUUUAUCAUCAUACCAAUCCUUAGUUAAAUUAACUGGUAAAUAAACAUAAUCAGGUUGCUUAACAAUCAAAAAAUUACUUAAGGUAUAAUUAACACAGUUAGUUAUUUGACAAUUAGUACAGUUAACAGUAUUAUUAUCUAUCAAUAAAUUCCCACUCAAAGAAGACUAUGGCUCUGGAACACACGAACAUACAAAAACUUCAGUCUUAUUGUGUUUGUCCUGAAAUGCCAUGAUAUUCCACAUAGGAAUCCAGGUAAUUGUGGACGCCCACUCGCCAGCAAGUAAGAUGCCACAACAGGAUCCUUCUGCAACAUGUUUAUUGGGAGAGCAUGGACUGCGUAGGUGAAAGACCCCGAGCCCCAGAAAUGGUGCUACUUAUAUAGGCCUAGGGAGUGACAUGUCCAUAACUGAUUGGUUAUGCUACCAGUACCUCAUUAAUAUGCCUCGAGCCAGGCAGUGACUCGGCAAAAAACUCUGGCACAUGCGCACAUUGGUUGUUUACCCAUAUUCAUGGGCAUUGGCUUACUGAAACCGGUGCCAUCUUGUAAUGGCGUUUGCGGCUUCCCACAUCUCCCCCUUUUUAUUGUAAUAAAAUGAUGCUGGAUUAGGCCUAUGCAAUUAUGUCCAUCCGCUACGGCUCCUGUUUUAGGUCGUUCCUCUGUGUCACAGCCUUACCCGUCAUAGGGUAACCCUAUCGCCACCAGGCCCCGUGUCUUAGGUUGCUCUGUGCAUGAGGAAAGUUGCCCAUCUUUGGAUAAUGCAAUGCUGUGUGACAGUAAUUGCUAAAUGACUUAUUUUGUUCGUCCUGAAAUGUCAUGAUAUUCCCGAUAGGAAGCCAGGUGAUGUUAAUUCUUUUAACUGUUAUCAUCCCAAGGGCUGCAAUGGCUUUUCUUAAUGAAGAAAAAUAAGUUUCAUUAUUUUUUGUCCCAAUUCCAUGAACCAAAUUAAUAGGAGGAUGAUUAGUAUAAUCCAAAAUAUUCCAAUCACACAGGGUGGUAUUAGAGCAAAGGCAUGAAAUUGUAAUAUAUGUCCAUCAGAAUACUCUCCUAAAUAUUUGGUUUGAUUGACAUAAACAGUAAUAUCUACAGUCUCAUCCCAAGUGACAGGAUGAAUUAUAGGUGGAUUUGGAACAUAUGCCCAAUAAACUUAUGCAGAGCUGCCUCGAUGUAACAUCCAGAUAAUGCUAAUCAAUAGGGCAAUCAGCUGUAUUCGAUCCUGUGCUGUCAUAGACGUUAUCAUUCGAGGUUCCUGGCGGUGGCGUUGAAAAGAAAGACGAAACAUCUGUCUUUAAUAUUCCCAUCUUGGUUUUCAGCAUGGCGUACACACUGGGUUGGCAACCACCUAGGGGAAGGUGUGUCUGUUGGGAAAACAUAAACAUACCCACGGCCCCAUAAAAGUACAGGAUCUGGGCUGUGUAAUGAGCCGUCCAUCGGAUCUUUCCAAUAAACUAAAGGUUUUGCUUUGUCUUCGG